GCCCCUGUAGCUCAGCCCGGACAGAGCAGUUGACUUCUAAUCAUCAGGCCGCAGGUUCGAAUCCUGCCAGGGGCG
rnacentral:tRNA from 2 species